rnacentral:lncRNA from 1 species
GUAAAAGGAAGUCUCGGUUAGUCUCAAGAAUCGGCAGGAAGUUUAACAAAACAACUAUAUGGCCCUUCUGAAUAUUUUGAUUUGAUUAAAUAAUCGAAUUCUGCCAUCUCAACUUCUUUAUAGUUAAAUUUCCUUUUUAUUUAUUUUUUUUUUUUUUUCCAUCAUCGUUAUGUAUAUAAAUAUAUUUAUCCACAGAUACAUCACACAUAUAGAGUAUGUGAAAUUAAAUUGAAGAACAAAAUUAAAGAGAGAAAAAAAGGAUAAAAAACUAUUGCUUCUUGGUUUACCCCUACCGUCAUUCAUCUCUAUUCGGUUCUUUCUCUUCAUAUUCAAAUGCCAUUGACGCUUCAAUGAAUAAUACUCAAUGAUAAAUUUGUAGGCGUAUUCAGGAUGGACCACGACAGCAUUGAGACCUUGAAAUUUAACCGCUUGCUAAACGUGUGCACACAUUUGAAUACGUUUAUAAAAAACAAAACAAAAAAAAAAAAUUAUUAUAAAAAGGUAAUAUGAAGAUGAGAAGGAUUUUUAAGGUAUACCUGGACGUAGCAGAAGUUUGAAGGGUGAAACGUGAGUUUCAUCAAUUGCAUCAGCUGAUCUUUUACCUUUGGACCUCUGCAGGCAUUCUAUAAACUAAAGGCAUGUAUUACUAGCUAGAGUCUAUGAUUUUCACUUUGAAAAGUCCUCCGGGGUAUCAAUUGAACAAGGAUUCAUCUGGCAAGAUGGAAGUGAAUGAUUUUGAGGAAAGGAACGAGAAGCCCUUGAAAUAGGAUUGUCCGCACCAUCGGCUAGAAAUCCCAUCAAGUAUCGUACUAACUGGAGAAAAUGAUGUUGCUUGAAAGAGAGACAGAGUGUGGUGUUAUAUGAUGUACGAUGAGACUGGAUAAACGAAGACAAAUUAGGCUAAGCAAUCGAAACCCAAGUUGGUUUGGUCUAAAAUUCAUUCUAAAGUCUGAAGAUGCCUUUAGGAAAAAGCCUUUGGCAUUGGACUGUCUCUGUAUACCUUAGCUCAUAGUAUAUUUUACAAGUACAAUCGUUGGAUGAAGAUGAAACACACGAACCAAGUGAGUGGCAAGACGUUGGUAGAAUGCCUCAGGGAUGGGAAAUGAUGGCACACGCAACCUGAACAUACGAUAAGAUAUAAGAGCAUCAAGUAAUGUACAUAAAACACUAGGAUAUAUAUACACACACAAGAGAAAUAUACUGCUGAGGGACACAGUUGAUGGCGGCUUGACUAUAGUUUGAGUGGAAUUGAGGAAAGGCUGAAGAGUGACGGCAUAAGCACAGCUACUUCUCAGAGCCAACUACUACUUUUACUAUAACAACUACCAACAACUCCAUAUAACUAUAUUGUUAUUGUACAAUUUGCCAAGACCAAGAUGGCUAUAUGAUGAGUGUGAGAAGCACCUUUGGACAUCAUACCAACAUAUUUUAACCUUUGAUGCUUGCUGAAGUUUUAUUGUCCAUGUAUUUUAAGCUUUGUUUGAUUAUUAAUAAUUCUUUUGUUAAUUUAAUUUUUUUUUUUUGUUAUCUUACUGUUUUUAGAAUUUUUUUUCAUGAAAAUAUAUAAUAUAGAUCGAAGACUACGUGACUAAUGUACUGAGGGAAAAGUGAAAAAAAAAUUAAAGAUAACGAGAAUUUUUUAAAAUUAUAUUCGAGGAGAUUAAUUUGGUGGAUUGUCUAAAGUUUUACUGUUGACCAAGAUCAAAGCAAUGAGAAUUACUUGAAUCUUCUCUUUAUUGUUGUUGUUGUUGUUGAUAAAGUAUACAUCUAUAUUUAUGUUUAAUGCAAUAACGAAGACGUUUGUUGGAUAGCUAUGGAAUUUUGAGAAUCAAGAUUCUUGUUAAUUCAUCUGAUGAUUUGUAUAUACAAGCCAUACACAUCAAACGAAAUAAAAUAAAAUCAUAAAUGAAGAAGAAGAAGAAGAGUCUGACUUGUGAGUAGUUUCAAGAAUUAUAAAGAUGUGCACUAGUAGAUUUCACAGCAGUAGUCUAUGACUGUUUGGCUGUCUUGGAAAAUUUAAAGACAGAGAUAGAUUUAUUAGAUGUGAGUGGGGUUUGUUCUUUACACAAAUAAAACAGCACUUAGUAAAGCUCGAGUACUUACCUCUUCACCGCGACAACACAGACAAUGGGAAUAUGACAUCUGUCUUGGGCUAUGUGUUUUCAUCUCUAUCUAUUAUUGUGUGACAGGUAACGACACGAUGCGAACUUGUAUGUAAAUUUGAAGCUUGAUAUAUAAACACGCACAAUAAAUAAUGUCUAUGAUGAUGACAGACAAAAUUUCGAUUCAAGAUUAGUUAUUAACAUUAUAUAUUCUUGUGAUUAAAAUUAAAUUAUCAUUAUUAUUUUUUAUUUCAUGUAAAUUCCAUUGGAUUAAUGUAAUUUACAAUGAAAUACCGAUGAUGAUGAUUAUGACAUGUGAUAGACAUUUCUAUUCGUUCAGUUGAUUUUUAAAAAAUUGAAAAUAAAAAAACAAAAAUUAAAAUACUAUCAAGUCUCGUUGCACUCCGGGGCAUCUUCGAGCACGAUCAGACAAGAAAUGAGAGAUAAUAUUUAAAGAAAAAAAAAAAAAAAAAAAAA